CGCACGAAGGGUUUCGGCCUUAGUGGCGGACGGGUGAAGUAACGCGUAGGUAUCUAUCCAUGGGGUGGGGGAUAACACUGGGAAACUGGUGCUAAUACCGCAUGACACCUGAGGGUCAAAGGCGUAAGUCGCCUGUGGAGGAGCCUGCGUUUGAUUAGCUAGUUGGUGGGGUAAAGGCCUACCAAGGCGAUGAUCAAUAGCUGGUUUGAGAGGAUGAUCAGCCACACUGGGACUGAGACACGGCCCAGACUCCUACGGGAGGCAGCAGUGGGGAAUAUUGGACAAUGGGGGCAACCCUGAUCCAGCAAUGCCGCGUGUGUGAAGAAGGUCUUCGGAUUGUAAAGCACUUUCGACGGGGACGAUGAUGACGGUACCCGUAGAAGAAGCCCCGGCUAACUUCGUGCCAGCAGCCGCGGUAAUACGAAGGGGGCUAGCGUUGCUCGGAAUGACUGGGCGUAAAGGGCGUGUAGGCGGUUUGUACAGUCAGAUGUGAAAUCCCCGGGCUUAACCUGGGAGCUGCAUUUGAUACGUGCAGACUAGAGUGUGAGAGAGGGUUGUGGAAUUCCCAGUGUAGAGGUGAAAUUCGUAGAUAUUGGGAAGAACACCGGUGGCGAAGGCGGCAACCUGGCUCAUUACUGACGCUGAGGCGCGAAAGCGUGGGGAGCAAACAGGAUUAGAUACCCUGGUAGUCCACGCUGUAAACGAUGUGUGCUAGAUGUUGGGUGACUUAGUCAUUCAGUGUCGCAGUUAACGCGUUAAGCACACCGCCUGGGGAGUACGGCCGCAAGGUUGAAACUCA
rnacentral:rRNA from 1 species